ACUUCCUAAGCCGGAACGAAAAGUAACUCUGUAGUGAUACAUUGAAGCUUUUGGCUUUGUGGUUGUGAUGUUGUGUUUGCAAGUUGUCUGGUAGACCAGACUUUGUAGCAUAUGCUACUGUUUUUUUCACUUCCUGUA
rnacentral:misc_RNA from 1 species